rnacentral:rRNA from 1 species
ACGGGACCUUUCGGGGUCUAGUGGCGGACGGGUGAGUAACGCGUGAGAACAUGCCCUUAGGUUCGGGACAACAGUUGGAAACGGCUGCUAAUACCGAAUGUGCCGAGAGGUGAAAGAUUAAUUGCCUAAGGAUUGGCUCGCGUCAGAUUAGCUAGUUGGUGGAGUAACGGUUUACCAAGGCGACGAUCUGUAUUUGGUCUGAGAGGAUGACCAGACACACUGGGACUGAGACACGGCCCAGACUCCUACGGGAGGCAGCAGUGGGGAAUUUUCCGCAAUGGGCGAAAGCCUGACGGAGCAAUACCGCGUGAGGGAGGACGGCUUUUGGGUUGUAAACCUCUUUUAUCAGGGAAGAAACAAAUGACGGUACCUGAUGAAUCAGCAUCGGCUAACUCCGUGCCAGCAGCCGCGGUAAUACGGAGGAUGCAAGCGUUAUCCGGAAUUAUUGGGCGUAAAGCGUCCGUAGGUGGUUUUUCAAGUCUGCUGUCAAAGCGUGGAGCUUAACUCCAUACCGGCAGUGGAAACUGGGAGACUAGAGUGCGAUAGGGGUAACGGGAAUUCCCAGUGUAGCGGUGAAAUGCGUAGAGAUUGGGAAGAACACCAGCGGCGAAAGCGCGUUACUGGGUCUGCACUGACACUGAGGGACGAAAGCUAGGGGAGCGA